CAUUUCGUUGGCACAGCCGGCCGUAUCUGGCCCUUUCAAGGCUGUAACCGGGGUUCGAAUCCCCGUGGGGUCAC
rnacentral:tRNA from 1 species